rnacentral:rRNA from 1 species
UAGCGUUGCUCGGAAUCACUGGGCGUAAAGCGCACGUAGGCGGCUUUUUAAGUCAGGGGUGAAAUCCUGGAGCUCAACUCCAGAACUGCCUUUGAUACUGAGAGGCUCGAGUCCGGAAGAGGUGAGUGGAACUGCGAGUGUAGAGGUGAAAUUCGUAGAUAUUCGCAAGAACACCAGUGGCGAAGGCGGCUCACUGGCCCGGUACUGACGCUGAGGUGCGAAAGCGUGGGGAGCAAACAGG